UGAAAUUAAACAAUAUUUUUCUAUAUAGACGGUCUUCUGAAAUAAGGGAGGCUCACCAACUGCAAACUUCUGACAGAUCAAUCUACGACUUAGCGGAAUCCCGGAAUUGUGCCUGGGAUCCUGAAAUAUUGGGGGUCAAAGCAGAGCAAUCCAAAAUAACGUGCUUUUAUAUAACAUAAGUGAGAGCAAUUCAUAAAAAUAGUUUACAUACGAUAUAGGAAAACCACAUGGGCAUACUUUAAAGACUUUGAAAGAUUUCUUUGUAAUCAUGAACCACUAUUUAUGUCGGGGCAUUCCUUGGUGAAUAGAUACACGUGCCUCGGGGCAUUCCCCGGCCAAAUGAAUACAACUAAAUUAAAUGCGAUAAAACAAAACCAUUCUGACACAUAUUUCAAACAAGCCAUCAAUCCACCACGCCUAAAUUUGCUUACCCAAACCUACCGUUUGCCUAUUCAUUCUUGACUAAAGACAUAAUUCUAUCAUAGUUUAUAUCAACAAGAAAUCACAAUUAAUCCAAAUCUACCCUUUUCAUCUAUUUUUCAAUUUCCAGUCCAGCAUCCUUUUUAUCAAUCGCACCAUCAAAAUUACUCAAAUUCGUUCCACAUAUUAAUAAAAUCACAUCGUCAAGCACAUAAUCAAAUCAUCAACAAAAUCCAAAAAUCAUAAUCACAACAUCAAUAUACCAAAUUAAAAUAAAAUAAGAAGCAAGAGUUGUAGAGAUGGACCUUCUGAUAAUCGACUUUCGUUGAUAAUAAGAAUUAAGGAAGCCUGACCUUGGGAUUUCGAAAAGAACCUCAACUGUGAUGACUCUGACUUCGAUAUCGACAAACUCAACACCCCAAGACUGAUCUAGAUGGACUGAUUAUAUGAAUAGAAAACCAAAUCCUCAAACCCAGAACAAAACUGAUGAACCCGGAACCCGAUUUCAAAAGGAAUCACUGAGAAAAAUAAACCUAAAACCCCAACAAAAAUGACAGGACAUCAAAUCCUAGCAUAGACCGAGCUUCGAUGAGAUCUGGCGACAGUAGGAACAACGGCUCAAGACAAAUUCCGGCGCGUUUCGACAUUUUUAGGCCGGAUUUGCUCAGAAAUAAAAGGGAAACAAAGAAAUCUCAAGCUUUUGAGAGCUGAAAUGGUCGCCCAACGAAUCAAAAAUCAAUUCUGACUAACGUUGCACCGUAAAAACUUGAAACAAAAACUGAAUCUCAUCGAAAGACUCGAAACAAGACCAAAUCUCUUACCCGCUCACUAUUCCAAUCAUUCUCUUCCCCUUUCUAAUCUGUUUUUGAUCUUUUCUCUUUUGUUUUUGGCCUUCUCCAUCUCUUCUCUUCAAUGUUCUCUAAUCCAAUCGCCUCAUCAUUUUUUCACCGACCUCACUGUGUGCGUUUACGUGUGCUGUUUGGUGAGGUGUGUGAAUUGAAUGGAGAAGAAGCCACUCGGCAGUGAGUGUUUUUGUUUUUGUAUUUUUUCUUUCACUAUAUCAGUGAGUGUGUAUGUGAUAAAAAUAUUCUCUCUCCAUGAAUUGUGAAUGUCCGUGUGUAUAUAUGGAAGGUGAGGUGAUCAGAUUAUUGUCAUUCCCCCAAUGGAAAAG
rnacentral:lncRNA from 1 species